rnacentral:rRNA from 1 species
UUCGGCCUACGGGGGGCAGCAGUGGGGGAUAUUGCACAAUGGGGGAAACCCUGAUGCAGCGACGCCGCGUGGGUGAAGAAGCGCCUCGGCGCGUAAAGCCCUGUCAGCAGGGAAGAAAAUGACGGUACCUGAAGAAGAAGCCACGGCUAACUACGUGCCAGCAGCCGCGGUAAUACGUAGGUGGCGAGCGUUAUCCGGAAUGAUUGGGCGUAAAGGGUGCGCAGGCGGUCCUGCAAGUCUGGAGUGAAACGCAUGAGCUCAACCUAUGCAUGGCUUUGGAA